GUGCUCCCCCGCCAAUUCCUCAACGUCUACCUAAACGAAGAAGACAUCCGCUUCCUGGGCGGCGAAUCCUGCUGCGUCAAGGAAGGCGAUCGCCUGCUGCUGGUCCCGUCGAUCGCCGGCGGCUCGCUCUAAGUAGCUGCAAGAGUGGAGUAUAGGAAACCGGAGCGCACAAAACCCUGCUACGCGUUGUUCUAUGAGGUGGUCGAUGAUUUCACUGCGCGGCGCGGUGUCUAUUGCGACGUGCACCUGCGCUUGGCGCGCAACGAAUUGGUCCUGGCAGAGGUGCUCGCUGAUCCGCUGCAUACUAGCCGCCAACAGCUACAGACAUCGGGCACUUGUGCACCACUCAUUUGAUUGAACUUACCGGAUCGCAUCCCGGCGGCGGGCGGAGGGAGCGAGAAACUUUGACACUUUCGUCCGCCGCCUUCCCAGACUAGGCAAAGCCCCGUUCUGCCUGGCCUUCAGUUGAAACAAUUGAACCUCGCCCAUCGUUUCUUCCUACGGUACAGUCUGGAGGUGCGUAAUGCGGCAUUCCGUCCUGGCCCUGUUUGCGUCAUUGGCCUUCCUGGUACCGGCAGGAUCAACCGGAG
rnacentral:rRNA from 1 species